rnacentral:lncRNA from 1 species
AGAUUCUGAAAGUUAAUGAUCUAGAAACAGUGAGGCACCACUGAGCACCCAAACACGGCUUCAGCCUCAAAGUGGCAGGAAGGCAGUGCAGCAUUGCCAAGGAGUCCUCACAAGAGCACAAGACUUCUUCACAGCUCAAUCCAAGCAGAUCAACUGAUUCAAAAGGAGGAUCUUUUAUAGUUACCCAGAUCUAUAUGCACCAGCUCUGCAGUUUGUUCAUCUAUCAGGAUAUUCUGAACGUGUCUGUCUCCAAGUCCAAGGAUGUAGCCGACUGAAAGAAAAAGCAAGAAUUAACACUCAGCUGUCUGCUUUACUG